AAAUUGAAGAGUUUGAUCAUGGCUCAGAUUGAACGCUGGCGGCAGGCCUAACACAUGCAAGUCGAGCGGUAACACAGGGAGCUUGCUCCCGGGUGACGAGCGGCGGACGGGUGAGUAAUGUCUGGGAAACUGCCUGAUGGAGGGGGAUAACUACUGGAAACGGUAGCUAAUACCGCAUAACGUCGCAAGACCAAAGAGGGGGACCUUCGGGCCUCUUGCCAUCAGAUGUGCCCAGAUGGGAUUAGCUAGUAGGUGGGGUAACGGCUCACCUAGGCGACGAUCCCUAGCUGGUCUGAGAGGAUGACCAGCCACACUGGAACUGAGACACGGUCCAGACUCCUACGGGAGGCAGCAGUGGGGAAUAUUGCACAAUGGGCGCAAGCCUGAUGCAGCCAUGCCGCGUGUAUGAAGAAGGCCUUCGGGUUGUAAAGUACUUUCAGCGGGGAGGAAGGCGAUAAGGUUAAUAACCUUGUCGAUUGACGUUACCCGCAGAAGAAGCACCGGCUAACUCCGUGCCAGCAGCCGCGGUAAUACGGAGGGUGCAAGCGUUAA
rnacentral:rRNA from 2 species